UACGGAGGGUGCAAACGUUGCUCGGAAUCAUUGGGCGUAAAGCGCACGUAGGCGGCGCGUUAAGUCGGAUGUGAAAGCCCCGGGCUCAACCCGGGAAGUGCAUACGAAACUGGCGCGCUUGAAUAUGGAAGAGGGUCGCGGAAUUCCCGGUGUAGAGGUGAAAUUCGUAGAUAUCGGGAGGAACACCAGUGGCGAAGGCGGCGACCUGGGCCAAUAUUGGACGC
rnacentral:rRNA from 1 species